rnacentral:rRNA from 1 species
UACGUAGGGCGCAAGCGUUGUCCGGAAUUAUUGGGCGUAAAGAGCUCGUAGGCGGUUUGUCGCGUCUGCUGUGAAAAUUCGAGGCUCAACCUCGGGCUUGCAGUGGGUACGGGCAGACUAGAGUGCGGUAGGGGUGACUGGAAUUCCUGGUGUAGCGGUGGAAUGCGCAGAUAUCAGGAGGAACACCGAUGGCGAAGGCAGGUCACUGGGCCGCAACUGAC